rnacentral:misc_RNA from 1 species
CGCGCGGCCCCCAACACCCCACCACACCCCACCCCCCUCUUCCAGCUUUCUUCUUUCCUUCAGAAGGGCUUAGCAUCAUCCUCAAAGAAAGAGUGUCCAACAGCUUUGAUGAACUUCAGUCUCUCGACAAGCCUAAUCUCAUCCUUAAUUGCAUGACAAGGGCACAUUAUUUCGAUACCUUUAGGGUGCGGCGGCAUCAGUUGAAGACUCGAGUUUCGAUGGGCAAUGAAAAUUGCCUGAAUUAUAUUUUUUAUUUUUAUAAUUAUAAAUCAAUGACACAAAAGACUUCCAUUUGAAACUUCAAUAUACAAGUGCAGCUGAUAGAACUAAAUUGUAAAGCUAAACCACCAAGAAACACGAAAAUCCUACACUCAAGAAACAGCAAUAAUAACCGGAGAAAGGGAGGAAAAGAAAAGAACAACAAAAAGAAGAUUUGCACCGGUAGAGCAUGAAUUUCCGCCCAUCCGUAAUCCCAUACACACCCAAGCGUGAGCUCCCAAUUCUAACAAUAAGGUGUGAUUAACAGCAUCAGAUCCUAGGCCCAUAAAUUGGAUUGGACCAGGACUAAUGUAUCGAUUCUUAAGUGCCCACUCAUCCCGCAUGGAUGUAAAUUUUUUGAACGGCGCACCUUCAAGCUCCACCAUUGCCUUCUUAAUCAGAGGCUUGAAUUUACCUGCCAAAAGAAAGGGGAAAAAAAGAGAACAAUAUUUCAGAUAGUUAAAAUGAUUAAACUAAAAAAAAUAACAGCCAAAAAAUUCAUAAUAAUAAUAAUGUUGAGAGAAUAUUGCUGGAUCACUUGAACAAAGUUUUGGCGACAGUGCGAGUCUCAGCUUACAUUCUCAUGUAUAAUAUAUACAACCUUACUACUGCAUUGUGAAUUAACAAUAUCUUAUUUUACGAGCAAAAGAAUAUUAAUUAAUAAGGUGCCAAAAGGGUCCCACUCAUGCACAUUAUCCAUGUCAAAUACAUAGCAUGUCUUGUGCUUAUCAAAGGAGCAAAUAGAACUAUUAUAUCAUCAGCACAAAAAGGGACACUCUGAUAUGUUACAAGUUUGUUUUAUAAAAAAUGUAACAAGGAUUCUGAAAGGAUGAAAGCAUACCGUGUCUCCUCUCCACGUCCAUCAAAGAAGUCAGUGCAGUGCCACCUACUGUCCAUUCUGUAACAGGAGCACACAAAUUCCCAACCUGAAGACGCAACGAAAUUGAAUAACAUCAAUUCAGUAAUAUAAUAUCAUAGUCUUUGCGUUUUUUUUCCCCUCUAAUAAAGCUCAAACAGUCCAGAACCACUCUAGAGAUGAAACAAAGAUAGAAGGUCAAACAAAGAUAGAAGAUGGAAAAUACAAAUAAAAUGCUAGGAGUAGACCCACUCACUGAUGAUAUCAACCCAGUUUUUCCACUGUGAAGGAGGGCUCCAGCUCCAUAUCCCAAAGCAUAGCAGUAUGUUGCAUCAAAUUUUGUUGGCAAACCACACCUUCCUUCAUAACUGGACAUUUCCAUGUGGAUCUCUCUCCAGCAUCAAUUGUUCCUGAAUUGCUUGUGGCAGAAAUUCAAAAAGCUGCAGAGAUUGACUUGUAAGUUUCUUUUU